rnacentral:lncRNA from 1 species
CAGACCUUUGUUCACCUUCUAGCACUGGAAAUACUGCCUUGGGACUUCUAGAGCACUAGAAAUUCCUUAGAGACCUUUUCCAGUCCUCCAAAGUUGUUCAGAAAAUUCUCUGGAGAUCUGAGGAAAUUAACAAGAAAAGACCAUAAUUGUGAAUCUGGCUGCCCUGAAAGAGCAAUGAGAAGCCUGUCUUAUUGCAUUUGAUACCAUCUUAGAGCCACAGCAAACUACAGUAAGGGAAUGUGCAAAUAUCCAUGGGUAUCCUCUACUGCUGGAAAAGAAAGGAAAAGUCUCAGAGUAUCCAACUGUCUGAGUACCCAGACCUGCCACUGUCUGCUGGAGGAAGGACCUUGCAGACCAGGGAGUUUCUACCACUCUGACUCUGCUCACACUGUUUGUAUGACAUGUAUGGGUGAUCCAAGAACUAUAAAACCUGCUGAACUGAUUGUCUGCAAAUGCUUACCACCUUCAUCAAAAUACUUCAAGAGGGAUACUGGUAAAUUCUCCAGUGCAGAAACAGCUGCAGUUGCAAAAACUUAUUUUGUAUUGGACACCAGAGAAUCAACAGUUAAGUUGUGGAAAAGAAGGAAAAAACGUUUUCUAAAAGUUAAGGACUUUUCAAAACUGACAUAUACACCAUAUUAAAAAUCGAAC